GCCCUCAUAGUCUAGCCUGGACAGGACACGAGCUUGCGGAGCUUGGAACCUGGGUUCGAAUCCCAGUGAGGGCA
rnacentral:tRNA from 1 species